GAGAGGUAACGGCUCACCAAGGCAUCGACGGGUAGCUGGUCUGAGGGGAUGAUCAGCCACACUGGAACUGAGACACGGUCCAGACUCCUACGGGAGGCAGCAGUGGGGAAUCUUGCGCAAUGGGCGAAAGCCUGAUGCAGCGAUGCCGCGUGCGGGAAGAAGGCCUUAGGGUUGUAAACCGCUUUCAGGAGGGAAGAAAAUGACGGUACCUCCAGAAGAAGGUGCGGCCAACUACGUGCCAGCAGCCGCGGUGACACGUAGGCACCAAGCGUUAUCCGGAUUUAUUGGGCGUAAAGAGCUCGUAGGCGGUUUGGUAAGUCGGGUGUGAAAACUCUGGGCUCAACCCAGAGAGGCCACUCGAUACUGCUAUGACUAGAGUACGGUAGGGGAGCGGGGAAUUCCUGGUGUAGCGGUGAAAUGCGCAGAUAUCAGGGGGAACACCAGCGGCGAAGGCGCCGCUCUGGGCCGUAACUGACGCUGAGGAGCGAAAGCAUGGGUAGCAAACAGGAUUAGAUACCCUGGUAGUCCAUGCCGUAAACGUUGGGCACUAGGUGUGGGUCUCAACCAACGAGAUCCGCGCCGUCGCUAACGCAUUAAGUG
rnacentral:rRNA from 1 species